rnacentral:tRNA from 1 species
GGAGAGGUGUCCGAGUGGUUGAUGGAGCCGCUCUCGAAAAGCGGUAGGUGAUGAGCCUCGUGGGUUCGAAUCCCACCCUCUCCGCCA